GGGCUAGUAGCUCAGGGGAUUAGAGUAUGCGUCUCCGAAGCGCAGGGUCGAGGGUUCAAAUCCCUCCUAGCCCG
rnacentral:tRNA from 1 species